UACGAAGGGUGCUAGCGUUGUUCGGAAUUACUGGGCGUAAAGGGCGCGUAGGCGGCUCUUCAAGUCAGAGGUGAAAUCCCGGGGCUCAACCCCGGAAUUGCCUUUGAAACUGAAGAGCUAGAGUGUCGGAGGGGAUAGCGGAAUUGCUAAUGUAGAGGUGAAAUUCGUAGAUAUUAGCAGGAACACCGGUGGCGAAGGCGGCUAUCUGGACGACAACUGACGCUGAGGCGCGAAAGCAUGGGGAUCAAACAGG
rnacentral:rRNA from 1 species